rnacentral:tRNA from 2 species
GGAGAGAUGGCUGAGCUGGUCUAAGGCGCACGACUGGAAAUCGUGUAUGGGCUAAUACCCCAUCAAGGGUUCGAAUCCCUUUCUCUCCGCCA